GAGGGGCAGCAUGGUCUUAGCUUGCUAAGACUGAUGGCGACCGGCGCACGGGUGAGUAACGCGUAUCCAACCUUCCCCCUGGUAGGGCAUAGCCCGGCGAAAGUCGGAUUAAUACCCUAUGCUAUCCGAAGAGGACAUCUGAUUCGGAUCAAAGAUUUAUCGCCAUGGGAUGGGGAUGCGUCCGAUUAGGUUGACGGCGGGGUGACGGCCCACCGUGCCUGCGAUCGGUAGGGGUUCUGAGAGGAAGGUCCCCCACAUUGGAACUGAGACACGGUCCAAACUCCUACGGGAGGCAGCAGUGAGGAAUAUUGGUCAAUGGGCGUAAGCCUGAACCAGCCAAGUAGCGUGCGGGACGACGGCCCUAUGGGUUGUAAACCGCUUUUGCAGGGGAAUAAAGUGAGGCACGCGUGCCUUUUUGCAAGUACCCUGAGAAUAAGGACCGGCUAAUUCCGUGCCAGCAGCCGCGGUAAUACGGAAGGUCCGGGCGUUAUCCGGAUUUAUUGGGUUUAAAGGGAGCGCAGGCCGUUGAUUAAGCGUGACGUGAAAUGCCGCGGCUCAACCGUGGAAGUGCGUCGCGAACUGGUUGACUUGAGUGCGUGCGACGCCGGCGGAAUUCGUGGUGUAGCGGUGAAAUGCUUAGAUAUCACGAAGAACCCCGAUUGCGAAGGCAGCCGGCGAGUCCGUAACUGACGCUAAAGCUCGAAGGUGCGGGUAUCGAACAGGAUUAGAUACCCUGGUAGUCCGCACGGUAAACGAUGGAUGCCCGCUGUCGGCGACAGACUGUCGGCGGCCAAGCGAAAGCGUUAAGCAUCCCACCUGGGGAGUACGCCGGCAACGGUGAAACUCAAAGGAAUUGACGGGGGCCCGCACAAGCGGAGGAACAUGUGGUUUAAUUCGAUGAUACGCGAGGAACCUUACCCGGGCUUGAACUGCAGGAGAACGAUUCAGAGAUGAUGAGGCCCUUCGGGGCUCCUGUGGAGGUGCUGCAUGGUUGUCGUCAGCUCGUGCCGUGAGGUGUCGGCUUAAGUGCCAUAACGAGCGCAACCCCUGUCCCCGGUUGCCAUCAGGUGAUGCUGGGCACUCCGUGGAUACUGCCACCGUAAGGUGUGAGGAAGGUGGGGAUGACGUCAAAUCAGCACGGCCCUUACGUCCGGGGCUACACACGUGUUACAAUGGGUGGUACAGGGAGUCAGUCCAAUGCAAGUUGGAUUCAAUCAUGAGAGCCAUCCUCAGUUCGGAUUGGGGUCUGCAACCCGACCCCAUGAAGCUGGAUUCGCUAGUAAUCGCGCAUCAGCCAUGGCGCGGUGAAUACGKUCCCGG
rnacentral:rRNA from 1 species